rnacentral:rRNA from 1 species
UAGCGUACUGAUCAGCACUGCCGCGUGCUGUGAGAGGCCUGCGGGUUGUAAAGCACUUUCUGAAGAGAAGAAAGCGCGGUGCUAAUAUCUGUGUGGCUUGACGUAUCCUUCUAAACAACCACCGGCUAACUCCCUGCCACCAGCCGCGGUAAUACGGAGGGUGCGAGCGUUAAUCUGAAUUACUGGGCGUAAAGCGUACGUAGGCGGCUAAAUUAGUCGGAUGUGAAAGCCCCGGGCUUAACCUGGGGAAUUGCAUUCGAUACUGUCUGGCUUGAAUGUGGAAGAGGGAAAUGGAAUUCCGGGUGUAGCGGUGAAAUGCGUAGAUAUCUGGAGGAACAUCAGUGGCGAAGGCGACUUCCUGGUCCAACAUUGACACUGAGGUACGAAAGCGUGGGGAGCAAACAGGAUUAGAUACCCUGGUAGUCCACGCCGUAUACGAUGAGAACUAGCCGUUGGAUUCAUCUGGAAUUCAGUGGCGCAGCUAACGCGUUAACUUCUCCGCCUGCGUCAGUACGGACGCAAGGUCUGAAGCAUCUGAGAAAUUGACGGGAUCAGG